UUGCCCUCAAGCACGGCGCCAUCGCUGAACAUCCGGCAUUCGCUGCAACCCAGCCGCCGAUCAGAACUGCCGCCAGGGAGAUCUCACCGCCAAACUGAACAUCUUCCGAGUAUUCCGAGACCGGGCCCCGUUGUCUCUGAGCAUAGAAGCAUCUGACCUUGCAUAAAUAGUCGCCUGCUACUCAACAGUUCACCGGAAAGACAACGAACAUCUUGAUCGAAAGAAUCUUAACCAUCCAAGCUAGUUGAAAACAGCAACUACACCAGACUAAGUAAAAGACAAACCUAUCUCUAAACCGGCCGAAGACAAAACCAGAUGGGUAAAAAGAAACUAGUCGAAACGCGUUG